CCUGGUGAAGCCACAUGGGAUUCCAUGUCACAAAUUCGAGUUCUGUGCUGUUGACACGUGUCCAGUUUUAUCAAAACGCAGUGAUUCAUUAACUUGGAAAUCAGAUGGGCUUUGUCUAAAGAUUGGGCUUAAGUUCGUUCUUUGUUUUCGGCCAUGCUACCACCUUACUGCGCAAACCCUAAUCUGUGGUGAUGAACAGGUGUGUUCUUAGCGGAGACGGUGCCGGUCGAGUGUCCUACCCGUUUCUGUACGUCUUUUUUACGUCUUUAAUCCCAUUAAUUCAGACGCCAACUACGAGAUCUUCAUUUCCGUAGUUUCCGUCGGCAGUAUCGGUUAUAAUAUGUUAGUAUGUCUCUUCUGGGAAUCGCGAUCUCCAAAAUACUCAUCUAGAUAUCGAUUGCUCAUGGUGGACGUUAAGUCGAGUUGCUUUCUCAACAAUUGCUUCCUUCAGCAUCUGGUUUAGGAAGGUCAAGCAGAAGACCAUCAGAUUCCCAAUGUUAAAGAACGGUGAAUCAAGCUUGCUAAAUUAAAGGCUGCAUGCAAAAGCUCAAGGAAAUGGAUCCUUUAAUUUUGAAACUGUUAGAACCUGUUUUACCUUGCGGCCUCACCUGUUGGAAAGACAAUUGUAACUGAAGGAGGAGAUGCGACCUUAAGGUUCUGGAAUGUCUUACCAUCCCUGAAAUCUCAGUAUUAGGUGGGAUCUGUGCUGAGCGUAGUCUGCUGGGUGUGACUAGAUGUGCAACUAUGCUUGAAGAAAGAGUUAGAUCCUAUGCAAACCACCAAAACCAGGAUUCACUUCAACUGGUAUUAUUAUACUUUUGUUAACUUAUAGUAGAUAAUUAGCCGAAUUCCUUUCGUAGUUUCCUCAAGCUUUUAUUAUAUGGGAAUCAUACUUAUUGUUUUUGUAUCUUCAUAUAGCUGCUGUAAUGAGUUCCAUUAUCAUUUUUAGUCUGUUACUUUUCAUGCUAUUCAAUUACUGAGAGUCAUUGGCUAAGAUCUUGACACUGAGAUUCUUCAGGUUGAUGGAACGUCUUGAUACUUGAAUUCCCUUUCUCAUCUUUUCGUAAGAACCAAGGAGUUUGUUUAUAUCGUCACGUUAAAAACUUAGAGCUUUGCUUUCACAAUCGAGGUUUACAAUUAUCUUUUUUUUUACUGAAGUUUUACAGUUAUCUUCUUCUAUUUUUUUCUGAACUAUUGUCUAAAAUUAUCUUUAAGCAAUAAUAUUCUUUUUUUUUUUCUUAAGUACACAACUAACCAUCUCUAUUGCCCUUCUUUAAGUGGUACACCAGUUUCGAUAGGAAAGGCGCUGACCAUUUACAAGUUUUGAUUUACGUUUACCAGUUGCCACAUGCAUGAAAACCGUGACAUGACUAGGAGAUUCUCACAGAGUUAAUCACUAACCUGUAAAUAUAAGUUUCCUGUCAUACAUUUAGGGUUAUGUUCUGGAGGGAGAUACAGCCUUCUUUGGUUUAGUAUGGUUUAACAUAUAGUCCGCUUCAAAUUUUUUUGGUGUCAAUCACGGACCCGUUUCUUUUUGGAUUUAAAGUUGCAUGCAUUUGUGUGUUUGUUAUAUAUAUGAAGUCUGGAGGUAAAAGGAGAGACAAACACCAUCUGAACCAACAUGAGUGACAAGAGCAGAGGAAAAAGAGAGUUCUUCGGUAUAGAUUUGAGUCAUAAUUUGUAUCAUCAGUCUAUACCACCUAGAUUUCGGUAUAGACGACUCCGUCAUAUUUAAGAGUUUUACAUUUCUCGGUUUAAUAAAAAACAGCAUGUUAACACUUACACAUACGUCAAAUUAUUGGUUACCAAA